rnacentral:lncRNA from 1 species
GAUUCUUUACCAUCACCUCCAAAAGCCCUGCACUUUCACCUCUGCUAUUGCAAUUACCUGGUUGAGAUAUGAUGAGGAUCUGGACCAAGAUGGUGGCCGUGUGAGAAGAGAGAAGGAGAUGGAUGUGAGAGAUGCUCUGAAGUUCUAUUUGGUGUCCAGAGGUCCACAGAAUCAACAUCAGAAACCAUGCCAUUCUCAGACUCAUCACUACCUUUCAUCAACCCUGCCACGAUAAACACAGGGAAGCAGGAUCCUAGCAAGGUCCCCUUUUCUACCAUCGUUGAUUAUGUUACAAACAGAAAUAGGACUCCAAAGAAGAGAAUGCUCCAGAUCCAUGGCUCACCUAUUUGUUUUCCUAACAAUUUCUCUUCACCCCUGAGAUUUUCACAGGAUGAUAUUAAUGAAAAAAGGAAUACACUUACUUCAACUUCUAAAAAACAAGAGGAGUUAGUUAGUAAAACAGAUAAAAGCACUUUGCCGAAACUUCAACCCUUAUUUUCAAUGACAGCAACUAUGAAGUAUGAGCAGCUUUGUUUGAAUCCAGGUAAGAAUCCAGGCUGAGAGCCAAUGACACAACAAAGUUUCACGGUAUUCACAGAAUAGCAAAACCAAACUCAAAAAAAUGAGGUGGAAAACUUUCAUGUCCAGGGAGGAAAUAUCAUAAUGGGAAGCUGAGUCAAGAAGAUCCUUCAUUUGCCUUCACCAAAUCAUCCCCUCAGCUGUCUCCAGGCACAGACAUCCACCUGUGGUUGUCCUCAGACUGCACUCCCUUUGAGCAUCACUUAUUUUUCUUUUGCAAAGGUUUACUAUUGGCAUCACAACAAUUUAGACAAGAAUGCCUGGAAUAAAAACUUAAAAUAAUAUCA